rnacentral:pre_miRNA from 1 species
GAUUUCAACUGAAAAGUCAUCAACAACAAAGUUGUAUAACUCAUCAAGAUCUAUAAUUUUUAUUUUGAUCAUUUAUUCAUCUGACAAAGUGACAGUAAUAUUGUUCACAAAAUUUACAUAUCUCUUAUAUGGUUUUAUAAAAGAUAUGCAAAUUUUGUGAAUAAUGUUACAAUCACUUUGUCGGAUGAAUAAAUGAUCAAAAUAAAAGUUGUAUGUCUUGAUGAGUUCUACAACUUUUAUGUUCGUGACUUUUUCAACUGAAAUU